GAGGUUUGCCACGAUUGUACCAUUCGUCUCUUAUGGAAUUUUUGUUGUCGGCGCGAAUCGCGUUUUAACGAACCGGGAAAAAUUCGCCAAUUCUGUUGUUGAUUUAAUAACGAUGCGUUUCAAUUCUGGAUAGAUUGAUUAGAGGAUAAUUGACCGAGGAACGAGCGAUUAGAGGGAAAGUGGAACGAAAAGAGGAGAAUUGGGGAAUAGAAUGAAAUUUGUUGAAAAUCGAAAGUUGGCUGAUUAAAAAAUUCUCAUAAUUAUAUUUAGAUCAAACAUUUUUAUAAGGAUGAUUAAGAAUUGUGAAAAUUGGAUUUCCAUUUCAUUUGUAAAAUUGUUUAAACGUGAAUUGGAACUCGAGUUAGGAAAUUAACGAAAUGGAAUAGUGUGCAGCUGCACACAACAGGUGCAUCGUCAAAUUAAUACCAAAGGUGUUACUUUGGCAUGCAUCGCCUUUUCGAUUCUUCUUCUUCUCACUCAUUUUUCCCUCUUUUAGCGGAGAAAAGAGGCGAGGCGAUCGAUACAGCGCGAAUAAAACCAAACCAGUUACGUACACAACGUAUUUUCUAACCGACUUGCGGCGAAAACGCUUCGUUCGAAUCGUUCGAUGCAAAUUGAAUUUCAACUUUCCACGAAGGAGAAGAAUUCGAGCCCAAUACUCUUCGACCUACUACGCGACAAACUGUUUCCACGCGAAACGGAGCAUCGAAUCCACGAUCGAUCCGAAGAAGCAUCCUUUAACCGAUACUCGAUAAGACAACGAGGUGAAACACGAUGAUGAUAUCACUAUCCAACGCCUUGCGACAAAAUGAAACGCGUCAAGGCCAUUCCCGGCUAUGUAUGCAUCAUCAUUUCUAACGAUAUUUUAUUUUUUCCUUAUCUAUUUUAUUACUUUCUUUCCUUUUUAUUUCUCUCUCUUUCAGAAAUAUAGUAUUAACCAGAGGAUUCUUGAUAAAAGAUGUGUAAUUUAUAUCCGUCAAUGAUAACGGUACGACGGUGAAACUAUUAAAAAGUCAAAAAUACACGCACGCGUGAAAUACAAAUCGCCCCCCAGAGGAUCAGAAAUUUUGUAAUUUGUACGUGGCUGGAUCGUAAAAAAAAAAUAAAACGCGCGUACGAGAUUACGUGUUGGGCCGCAGAGGAUCAGAAAUAUUUAUUGAGACGACGGGACUGCGUGUGCAAGCGGUCGACAAACAGCCUUCGUCUCGUACUUUCUACCUUCGAGGCGAUCGAAGGCUCACGUUGCCGGAGACUCUCGCCUCGUCAUCAGACAAGGUAACGAACGUCGUCGGCCAAACGAUCCUCAUCGUCGUGGCGGUUAUAGUCUCGGUGCAUAUAUUUAGAGUCGAAUGCGAAAUAUCGAUUGUGGGGCUCGGGUUGGCCGGUCUCGCUUGCCCCGAGAAAGCUAGAGCGUUAGCUGCGUUCUGAAAUUUUUUUUUGAAAAUCUUGGAGGGAUUCUCGCAUCGUCUGUUUUAUUUUUUUAUCAUAUACAUCACGUAUUUUUGACAAUGGAUCAUUCUAUUUCUAUCUUUUCCAGGGAUGAAUUCAACGUAUAGGAUAAAUUAUAGGAUAUCCAUUUAUUGCGAAUAAAAUAGAAAAUUCUUGAGAUUUACUUUUAUUGUAAAAUUGCAACGUGUCGACCUUGUUCAGUUAAAAAUUAUAAAAGAAUCCUUAGCCUCGUGAUAAUCAACGUGAUGUCGAGGAGAGGCGGCGAAAAAAAGAAAAGAAAAAGUGUUUGAGAUGAGAAGGAUUGAUGGGUCGAGAAAAUGUUGAAGAUUAAAAUAUACACCGUGAACGUGUCCAAUUAACGAUGAGCAUACCGAUUUCGCAAACACAAAUACGUUGCUCGCGAGAGGAUAAAUCGACGAUAAAUUGCAACUUUGCGUGGGCGUUACGAUUCCGUCAUAAACACGAAUAACAUUCUUGAAAAGAAGAAAAAGCAAUCGUUAUAUACUUUAUAAAUUUUCCGAUUAUUAUUAUUAUUAUUAUUAUUAUUAUUCAUUUGCACAAACGAAUAUUCUUGCCUUCACCCAGAUACUCAUUGACCAUUUCACGCCUCGAAUAAGCAUCAUUUACGAGGCACACGCUAUUCGUUUUGAAGAUAGAGGAUCGAUCCCGAUUCGAGAUAUUGGCGUACAACGAUUCUUACAACGGCGGGAACAGAUACGAUCGCGAGUUUUGCAGUUUCGAAUUAAUUUCUCGGUGUUGAACGAAGAAAAUCGUGACAAACAAAAGCGGCCAGAAGCCAUGGCGCACGGUAUGCGAGGCGCAAACACAGCAUCGCGGGCAUGCAUUGGAACGGAACGUAACGGGCAUGACGGGAAAUACCGUACGUGUAUAUCCUAUACCUGUAACUACACGAGUGUGUACGUGUGCCGAGAAAGUGCAGUUGCAACUGCAGCUGACGCCUGCAACUGGCCAACGAACAAUUCCCACUGUUUCUAACGCCGGCUCCGUUACAAGAAAUUGCAGAAAUAUCUUCCGACUCGACGGUCUAAAACUAUUUGAAGAGAUGGAAAUUGAAAUUUUGGAUAUAAUUCUUUCAGAUUAUUUUGUGCAGUCAAUUACAGAUUAAUUUGACGGUGACGAAAUUAAAAGUUUUUGGAAUGUGGAUUAAAUUUAAUAAGAAAAAUAUAGAAUAUAGAAUAUACUUGGUAGUAAAUUAUUUGGAGAUUGGGCGUGGAAAAAUACUACUGAAAUUUGUAAGAGGAUAAUUGUUUUAAUUAAGAAAAUGCCAUGUAACUAUGACGUAUAUAUCAAAAAUUAAUUAAAACGAAGAACAACAAGGAUUUGUAAAGAAGAAAUUACAGAAUAUUUUGAACGGCCAAGAAAUUAUUUGGAGAUUGGACGUGGAAAAAUACCGUGAAUUGUACCGAAAUUAAAAUUCAUCGCUUCUUGCACCACCAUUCAAGGCACACGGUUCUCAUCUCGCGACGAGACGCUUCCUCCCCAGAUUCCCCCGACACGGGAAAUUUUCACGGAGCUAGAAAGUUUGGGUGGAUCGUCGUGGACGAGGAUACACCCGGCACUAACGUGCACGAGAACGUUGGCAAGAUGCACACGCAACUGAGGGGAGAGGGGGUACGUUGGAGGUUUCACCCCUCGUGUAAAGUCUCGAGGAAGGGGCAGGGGGAAUAUUCGUUUCAGCAUUGUGAACCCUCGUGACUCGUUCCACCCUCGGUGGAGAGGCAGCCCUACGACAGCACGGAUCUUCCCUGUGGACGAAGAAAUACGACUCAAGUUCAAGGAAGGAAAAAUUCUUACGCUUCCCAGAUAUUAAAAACGAUCGUCAACUCGUUGAAAAAACGAGAGUGAGACGUUAAUACUCGAAAGUCAUAAAUUAUUAAUAUUCCGCCAACUAUAAACGAAGUUAUACACGAUCGAUCGAUGCUGCAACGAUGAUGAAGGAACAAAAAGGAGAAGUAUAUAUGUAUUCCACGUUAAGAAGAGGAUGAUUGAACAAGGAGACAACAAUGAAUUCUUUUUUUUUUUUUUUUUUCGACAAGACAAUCGACGACGAAACCGGAAUAAAAGCAUCGAUCGUUGUAACGACUGGGAGGCAGCAGUAAUACGGUCGUCAUUCGAAUGCUAAAUACACAGGCGAAGGAACGGUGUGCCGUUAACCUCGGCGUCACGUAUAAAACGCCACGAAGUCAUAACGGUUACGGGGACCUUUUCCACCUUGUAGAAGUGGAAUAAAUUCCGCUUCGAGGAGCCACCAAGGGUUUUCACCGCGGCAGCCCUUUUUAUCUCGGGGAAACAGGAACCGCCUAUCUUGUUCUCCCAGCUGCUUUCGUCAUUGCCUUGGAAAAUCGAUCUGCGACGGGGUUAAUAAUAUUUUUUAACAAUUCUUUUUUGCCACGAUGUUAUUUAUAAAUACGAACGUAUGAAUGUAUGACGAACGAAAAUUAAGAAAAUUAAAUAUUUUAUCAAGAUUCCCGCUGCGUUAUUAUAAUAAUUAUAAUUAUAACAAGCUUCGACCGUGAAACGUCACAUCGUCAUCGAUAUCCAAAAUAUCGAUUUAACCGGAGUCGUGCUCCGAACACGGAACAGAACGGACGUGUUUUGCUUCUCCCAAGAACGUUGUAUUGUUUGGUAAAUUAAUUAGUUUCGUGCAAAUCGAUCAACUAUUGUGAAUGUUAUUGUAAAUAAAAAUUACAAUGUGGAAGCACGAACGUCAGUCAAUAAGAGCAACGAAUGUAUUAAUAAUUAUAAUAAUAAUUAUUUAGAUUUGUUUUUUUAAUAUUAUUAACAAAUUUAGAUCUCAACGAGAUUCUGAGAAUUAGAGAAUUCAACCUGAUCAUUAAAAAAAAUAAUAAUUAAAUUCCAACUCUGAACUAUAACCACAACCAUGGAAAUUUCAAAGGGUCGAGAAAAAAGGAAAGAAAUCGGUCUCUUACAUUCGAACACUGGUCAUGAGAGAGCGAGACCGGUGCGAUCGAAACAUGUAAAUCUUGAGUGUAAGUACUGGCACGCACACUGUCGUCGCGCAUGCCAGACAUUGUUAACCGCGGACAAAGCCGUACAACUGGUUCCCUGGAAUACCAGGCGGAGAGGACGCGUUCCAAGACUCGUUCGAGCCUCGUAGCGCCACGGUGGCGCGUCGAAAAACGAUCGAAACGACCGUCCAAGGUCUGCACCACGACCUCCACCACGUAAUUUUCAACCUCGUUUAAUUGGGCAGGAAUUCAACGCCCCUUUUCCCCCCUUUUCUUUUUUUUUAUUCUUGGUUCCAUCGCUGUUGUGCGUGACGAAUAUAGAAUUUCGUGAAGCUUGCGUACGUGGGCUCCAAGAUCUUCUGACACGCUGUGCUAAUUAAUAUUAAAAGUCGUUGAAACGUAGUCGAUCGUAAUUAAAUGAAAUUAAAACGAAAUUGGAACGAAUUCUGAGAAGAUUUUUAUCGUGGAUUACGUUCUACGUGUUUUUAAAUUAACAUUUCUAGGUCACUUCGUAAGGAAAAUAUGAUUUCUAGUUUGUUCGAAACUGUAUUACACGGUAUUAUUAUUAAGUUAGUUAGUUUUAUUUCAAUAUUUGGUAUUUGAAUAAAUAAUUAAUACAAUAAGUAAAGAUUGUGCACUGAAGGAACAUUUAUACUGUGAUUAUUAAUAUUAGAGGGAUUAAGAAAGAAAUUCAUCAUUACUUUGUAUAUAAUUCAAACCCUCGCGUAACAUCACAAGCUUCGAAUAACUUUCCAAUCCAAUCAUCAUUAAUAAAAUUUCCUUCCUACGAAAAUACAUUUUUGCAGCCAUAAGUGAAAAACUUAAACUGCUCGUUCCCACAUCACUAUACUUGCUAUAUCUAUAUCGAAUCAAACCUCUGCCGCAACUUUUAUUUAAAAAUUUUCCAAAAAAGGGAAACGGUUCCCUUUGUCGCCUCUCCUAGCCGUGAAUUUUCCUAACGCCGCGAAACUUCUUUAAACGAUUUUAAACGCGGCGUUGAAGUCUCGAGAACGUUGCUCCACCAUUGCCCGGCCUCAUCUACAAUUCAAAUUGCCGAUACGUUGAAAUUUUGAAAUCCAGUUGGCCAAACUUGUGCCACGCAUCGCCGCGAGCGCCAUCGCCCUCGUCGAAACUCCACCGCGGCUCGCGGACAAAUUCGACCCUUCGCUGUUAUUUUUGUUUUGCCCGCUCGAAUUAACGCUCAAACGGAAACACCGGCUUUUCCGGAAGAGAUGAACGCGUUACAACCCACCCUGUAUUAUUUCGCGCCGGACGACAACUACAUUUUCUCUCAUUCGUCGAGGGGGAAAUGUACAGUUUUAUUCUGGAUGAUUUAGACUCUCUUCUGCGAUAAAAUUUAGUCGAAAUUGUGAAGCGUGGAAUAAUUGGCGAACGAAUUGCAUUUUCCUAUUUUUUUUUUAAGAAUAAUCAUAGAUAUUUUUUUUUUAAUAGAUUGAAUUUCAGUCGAGUUGCGAGAGAAUUUAAACAAUUAAAGGUAUAAUGUAUUAAUGUUGAUACAUAGUACAAUUUUUGAUUAUACGUGAAUUGUGAAAAUUUGAAAAUGGUAGGUAAUUUAAUAGAAGGAUGGAAAAUUUAAUAACGUUGAUUGUUUCUGUGAUUUAUGUACAAUCAAAGAUGAAUUUCGAUUUAUUUAAACAUCAUUGGAACACUUUGCCAAUGUUUAAUUAUGAGUAAUGAAAUUUCUUUUUAAACUCGAUUAAAAAGAAAUUAUUGAAUCGACAUAAUCGCGAUUGAUCGGCCAUUAUUAUUAUUAUUAUUAUUAAAAUUCUCUCUUAAAACGUUAACAGUUCCAUUGUAAAGCGUUUCAGAAUGUAAUUUAAAUAAAUAUAUUAUAACGUUCAUUUGAAUAUUAAAAUCAGGGGAAAAGGGAGUGAAUAAAAAGUGGAACUGCGAGGAGUUAAAUUUACUUAAACGGUAGAGCAGAAAUUUUUAACCUCGUUUCAAACUUAGAUAAUCCAACAUCAUUGCGAUAAAUUUAAUAUAUUCAUGACUUAAAACACGUGUAACAGUGUGAAUAUUAAUCGCUUAACAUGCGAUUUUCCAUUUAUUUCGUGCAACAUUUUCUCAAUGUUCAAUGUAUCAAAAUAUUAAUCCUUAUUAGAAUAAAAUAUCGAUUCUUUCUCAUUUAAAACGAAAUCAAUCGAAGA